rnacentral:rRNA from 1 species
AUUGAACGCUGGCGGCAGGCCUAACACAUGCAAGUCGAGCGGGGUUUUCGGACCUAGCGGCGGACGGGUGAGUAAUGCGUAGGAAGCUACCCGAUAGAGGGGGAUACCAGUUGGAAACGACUGUUAAUACCGCAUAAUGUCUACGGACUAAAGUGUGGGACCUUCGGGCCACAUGCUAUCGGAUGCGCCUACGUGGGAUUAGCUAGUUGGUGGGGUAAUGGCUCACCAAGGCGACGAUCCCUAGCUGGUUUGAGAGGAUGAGCAGCCACACUGGAACUGAGACACGGUCCAGACUCCUACGGGAGGCAGCAGUGGGGAAUAUUGGACAAUGGGCGCAAGCCUGAUCCAGCCAUGCCGCGUGUGUGAAGAAGGCCUUCGGGUUGUAAAGCACUUUCAGCGAGGAGGAAGGGGUGAGUGUUAAUAGUACUCAUCUUUGACGUUACUCGCAGAAGAAGCACCGGCUAACUCUGUGCCAGCAGCCGCGGUAACAC